rnacentral:ribozyme from 1 species
UAUUAAAGAAAAAAAAUUAUGAAAUAAGCAAAAAAUCGAACAUGGAAACUAACUAUCCUCUCUCGUACAGGUUUUAUUAUUCUUUUGUAUCCUUCUUUUCACCUUUCCUCCUUUAUUAUCUUUCCUUUUCCCCUCUCCUUCC